GGGGAAAAAACAGAAAAACUGCCCUAACCCAAACGCGUUUUUCAGCGGCGGCGCGGGUGCCCUUUGUCCGCUCUGGGCUGCCAUAGGGACCGCAGUGCGGACUGCACCACACCCACCCGUCGGUGUCUCCGAGCAGACGGAGUUGGCAAGCAUCUGGUUCUUGCCGGAGCCCUAGCGCUUCCACCCCGACAAUGGCGAGGAGGAGGCUCACCGACCUCGCCCGCCGCCAGCAAGCAGAGCGGGGGUUGAAGAACGGCGCACGCUGAGACGACUGUGGAUCUUUGUACGGCUGGCAGCGAGGAGCCGCCGCCCUCCCUACAACCAGCAAGGGGUCGACGGUAGAUGUGAGUGGCCGCCCAUGCUCCGCGACGCCCCGGCUCGCCCCGCGGUGCAGCCGCGCCUGCGGCCGUCCUGCACCUUGCCGCCGCCUCACCUCGCUCGAUGUUGGCGAUGGCCUGCCGUAGAUGCUCCUCAGUCACCAGCUCGCCGAUAACCACCAACAGUUAUGUGUUGUAGGAGGACACUGCAGAACCAACGACAGGUCAACUUUGCAAGGAACCAGGCAAGUGCAACAGUGACGUGAGGUAAGCUGGUGCUGGUGUCGAGAAAACCAACUUCGCCUGCCCUGAGUGACCACUUUGACAGAUGAAGCUGAAACCAUCAACAGUUUUUAUGAACAUUUUGGAAAAAGACCUAUGGAAUGAAAAUAAGUACAGACAUAUAAAUGCUUCAAUGGACAGAGAACAAAGGUGAUGAGAGCAUCUAUAUACUAAACUGUGUGGUACUUGAUUGUGACACAAAUGUUAUGAAAUAAGGGGUGGAGGUUGUGUUGGGUCCGUCUGGGCUGGAGUCACCUUUCCCUGCAGCAGCCCACACAGUGCUGUGCUCUGCACUCGUAGCUGGAACAGCACUGA